rnacentral:misc_RNA from 1 species
GGAAGGAUCAUCACUGAUUCGCGGGGUCUGUGUUCCUGUGUGUGCUGCGUGUAUAGCGCGCGCACAUAGCGAGCCGCCCCAAACCAAUCUUGUGUGCACCGUUUCACUGGUCAAAGGAUGACGUGUGGUGGUUGUGUGUGUUGGUGGGAGUGCGUGCGUGCGCGUAUCACAGUAAUGUGUGCCUGCGCGCUGCCCUCACCGACCGCACGCGCCCCGUCGUUCUAAAUUUAUACAAUAAUCUCUUGGUGUUAACUUUGUCUAACGCGCAUUACUUAAAAUAACACAUACAACUUUUAACAAUGGAUCUCUUGGCUCUCGCAUCGAUGAAGAACGCAGCAAAUUGCGAAAAUUAAUGUGCAUUGCAGUACGUGAAUCAUCGAGUCUUUGAACGCAACUUGCACUCUAGGUUCUCCUAGAGUAUGCCUAUUUGAGUAUCGGUACAACACCCACUCAAACCCCCCCUUAGCGUGCGGGUUUGGAUCUGAUGAGUCGUGUGCCACCACCAUCUCGCGUGGCGCUGACUUGAAGUAGUACGUGUAUAUUGAAUCGGGCCUAUGCAUACCACCGCGUGCGCACACCUGGUUCUGACGUGAUAGUCUCAUUCUUGGGAACUCGUCAGCACAGGCGCGCAAUCCACGUGGAUCGGUCAUAGUGUUUCCCAGUCACCCACCCCACAUUCUUGAUAUUAUGAAUCUCGAUCUCAAAUUAGGUAGGACUACCCGCUGAAUUUAAGCAUAUCAAUAAGCGGAGGAAAAGAAACUAACAAGGAUUCCCCUAGUAACUGCGAGUGAAGCGGGAACAGCUCAAAUUUGAAAUCUGGCUUGGCGCCACGCCGAGUCCGAAUUGUAGUUUACAGUCAGUGUAUCGGUGACACCAGCUGGUAUAAUUUGCCUGGAAUGGCAAGUCAUAGAGGGUGAUAAUCCCGUCCAUGAUCAGCCGCGUGCGCGCCACACGUUACACCGACCUAGAGUCGAGUUGUUUGGGAAUGCAGCUCAAAACGGGAGGUAGAUUUCUUCUAAAGCUAAAUAACGGCGAGAGACCGAUAGCGAACAAGUACCGUGAGGGAAAGAUGAAAAGAACUCUGAAGAGAGAGUGAAACAGUACGUGAAAUUGUUAAAAGGGAAACGCUUGAAACCGCUAUGGCGCAUGCUUCGGCACGCCUGCCAACAUCAGUUCGGAUGCACGCGGUACACAAAGCCGUGGGAAAGGUAGGACACGCUUCGGCGCGUCUGUUUAUAGUCCCACGGUCAUGCACUGCGCCGGACUGAGGUCUGCCGCCGCAAGGCGUAGGAUGUUGGCUGAAUGGUUUUAAUCGACCCGUCUUGAAACACGGACCAAGGAGUCUAACAUGUAUGCGAGUAUUUGGGUGACGAAACCCACGUGCGCAAUGAAAGUGAAGCAAGGGUGGGACGUGUGCGCGCUGCGCACACCGCACCAUCGACCGAACCCUUCGUCGGGAUUUGAGUAGGAGCAUACAUGCUGGGACCCGAAAGAUGGUGAACUAUGCCUGAAUAGGGUGAAGCCAGAGGAAACUCUGGUGGAGGCUCGUAGCGAUUCUGACGUGCAAAUCGAUCGUCAAAUUUGGGUAUAGGGGCGAAAGACUAAUCGAACCAUCUAGUAGCUGGUUCCUGC